UACAGAGGCCCCAAGCGUUAGCCGGAAUUAUUGGGCGUAAAGGGUCCGCAGGCGGAGUAGAGCGUCUUCUGUGAAAUCCUAUCGGCUCAACCGAGAGGCUGCAGUGGAUACGACUACUCUUGAGGCAAGGAGAGGUAAGCGGAAUUCCUAGUGGAGCGGUGAAAUGCGUUGAUAUUAGGGAGAACACCAAUUGCGAAGGCAGCUUACUGGCCUUGUCCUGACGCUCAGGGACGACAGCGUGGGGAGUGAACGGG
rnacentral:rRNA from 1 species